rnacentral:lncRNA from 1 species
CCACACUUUAUCCACCUGCCGGAGAUCCCCUUCUUUCCCGUGCAUGUCGAGGAGUGAGUUAUAAACCCACACGUUCGGAAGGCAACCUUGCUGCUUCAUCUUCGCCACCAGCUUCGUCGCAUCGCCAUACCGCUUGCUUUUCCCGUACAUGGACACCAUGUUCGAGUAAGCAACGAUACAUCUGGUGAAACCUCGGUCAAUCAUCUCCGAGAAGAUUUUCUCUGCUUCGCCGGUUUGGUUCAGACGGCAAUGGACGUUGAUGAUGGAGGCGUAGGUAACCUGACCGGGGACACAUCCUAAUGUUUUCAUAUCUUCGUAGGCUUUAAUGGAGGCUUGAAGCGUCGUCUUCUUCACGUGUCCAUUCACGAUGGCACACUGGAUGCAAUCCGAAACUCCGAUUGUCGUCGUCUCCCCC